GUCUAUGGCCAUGCCACCCUGAAUGUGCUCGAUCUUGUCUGAUCUCGGAAGCUAAGCAGGGUCGGGCCUGGUUAGGACAUGGAUGGGAGACCACCUAGGAAUACCAGGUGCUGUAGGCG
rnacentral:rRNA from 1 species